AUUUUAAAUCGCAUGGAUGAUCCCUAGCUAGAAUAAUUGUAUCAUAAGCAAAAUGAUCAAGAGUGGGGCUCACUUGUCUAAUGCGUUUUUUGCAGCAUCUCUAACCCUACUCUAUUUUUUCUCUAAAACUCUAUUUUAGAAUACAUUGGCUUCAACUUCUCUCUAUAUGUUACUCUAAAAUAUAGUAAAUGGUAGGAUUGUUCUAGAUAUA
rnacentral:sRNA from 1 species